GACGGCAGCGAUGGGUUUGAAAUCGGAGCCUUAUCUUCCCCACAUCAAUUGAACUUUUGGAUUAUUAUUAAUUAAUUCCACGACUGUCGGGAGUCUUAGUUAGCGGCACUUAACUCAUUGUGAAUAUUAUAUAUGUAUGUACAUACAUAUGUAUGUACAUGCAAAACGCUGUAUCGCCACUGCACCGGCACUGAUUUCCAUUUUUCCAUUGGACGGAGCGAGAUGUGCGCAUGGUCGUUGUCUCGGGCCCCUAAAAAUAUGUACACACAUACAUACAUAUACAUGUAUGUACAUACAUAUGUAUGCAUGUAUGCACUUAUGGGUGUGCGCUCUUCCGGUUGACGAUUUAAAAGCUCGUAUCUGCUAUGCUGUGUGUGUAUUUAUUAAGCGUAGAUAAUUUUCGAUUCGGAUUGAGAUCAUCAUGUUUUACGAUACCCUUUCAAUAAGUCCAUACUGCUCGUCUGCAUCUAUUCUUGUGCGUAUCGUAUCCUCCAGGCCAUGAUGCAAAAGACCCAACAAUAAUUCGUUCAAAUGUAAUUGAAAUUUUUAUUUUGUAAUAUCUGUAUUUAUUAAAGUACUUUUUUUGUUCUUA